rnacentral:rRNA from 1 species
UGUAUCCUACGGGGCGCAGCAGUGGGGAAUAUUGCACAAUGGGCGAAGCCUGAUGCAGCAACGCCGCGUGAGCGAUGAAGGCCUUCGGGUCGUAAAGCUCUGUCCUCAAGGAAGAUAAUGACGGUACUUGAGGAGGAAGCCCCGGCUAACUACGUGCCAGCAGCCGCGGUAAUACGUAGGGGGCUAGCGUUAUCCGGAAUUACUGGGCGUAAAGGGUGCGUAGGGGGUUUCUUAAGUCAGAGGUGAAAGGCUACGGCUCAACCGCAGUAAGCCUUUGAAACUGGGAAACUUGAGUGAAGGAGAGG